ACUCAAAUGAAUUGACGGGGGCCCGCACAAGCGGUGGAGCAUGUGGUUUAAUUCGACGCAACGCGCAGAACCUUACCCAGACUUGACAUGCCUGGAAUCUCCCAGAGAUGGGGGAGUGCCCGCAAGGGAACCAGGACACAGGUGCUGCAUGGCUGUCGUCAGCUCGUGUCGUGAGAUGUUGGGUUAAGUCCCGCAACGAGCGCAACCCUCGCCUUUAGUUGCCAGCAUUCAGUUGGGCACUCUAGAGGGACUGCCGGUGUCAAGCCGGAGGAAGGUGGGGAUGACGUCAAGUCCUCAUGGCCUUUAUGUCUGGGGCUACACACGUGCUACAAUGGUCGGUACAGAGGGCUGCCUAAGCGCGAGCUGAAGCUAAUCCCAGAAAGCCGACCCCAGUUCGGAUCGAAGUCUGCAACUCGACUUCGUGAAGUCGGAAUCGCUAGUAAUCGCGGAUCAGAACGCCGCGGUGAAUACGUUCCCGGGCCUUGUACACACCGCCCGU
rnacentral:rRNA from 1 species